rnacentral:tRNA from 1 species
AAUCUUUUGGCAUAGUGGUUAAGUGCUACGGCUGGUAACCAAAGGGUUGGCAGUUCGAAUCUGCCAGGCAUUC